rnacentral:rRNA from 1 species
AGCUCCAAUAGCGUAUAUUAAAGCUGUUGCAGUUAAAAAGCUCGUAGUUGAAUUUGUGGUUGCUGUCGUGGUCCAUAUGGUACCAAGGACAGGGUCCAUCAUUGGGUAGAACCUGGGUGGCAUUAGGUUGUCGUGCAGGUGGUGCUCAUCGUUUACUGUGAAAAAAUUAGAGUGUUCAAAGCAGGCUUAUGCCGCUGAAUAUAUUAGCAUGGAAUAAUGAGAUAGGACCUCGGUACUAUUUUGUUGGUUUGCGCACUGAGGUAAUGGUUAAUAGGGACAGUUGGGGGUAUUCGUAUUCCAUUGUCAGAGGUGAAAUUCUUGGAUUUCUGGAAGACGGACCACUGCGAAAGCAUUUACCAAGGAUGUUU